UACGUAGGGUGCGAGCGUUAAUCGGAAUUACUGGGCGUAAAGCGUGCGCAGGCGGUGAUGUAAGACAGGUGUGAAAUCCCCGGGCUUAACCUGGGAACUGCAUUUGUGACUGCAUCGCUGGAGUGCGGCAGAGGGGGAUGGAAUUCCGCGUGUAGCAGUGAAAUGCGUAGAUAUGCGGAGGAACACCGAUGGCGGAAGGCAAUCCCCUGGGCCUGCACUGGACGCUCAUGCACGAAAGCGUGGGGAGCAAACAGG
rnacentral:rRNA from 1 species